CUCCACCCUGAAAACAGACAAGCAGCAGGUGUGGUGGAUUACGUAUGAUGAGUUGACUGAUAAAAGGAUCUGUCCUCCGGUGUGGUGGCCUCGUUGGAGCUUGACUUCUC